AUCUGAAAAAGGCAAACUCCAUCGAAAGAGGAGGACGCAAAGCCAUGAGCCUAACCGUUGAAAAACGCAAGGUCGUCAGGUUGCCAGG
rfam:Planococcus sp. PAMC 21323, complete genome.